CGGAGGAAAAGAAACCAACCGGGAUUGCCUUAGUAACGGCGAGUGAAGCGGCAAAAGCUCAAAUUUGAAAUCUGGUACCUUCGGUGCCCGAGUUGUAAUUUGGAGAGGGCAACUUUGGGGCCGUUCCUUGUCUAUGUUCCUUGGAACAGGACGUCAUAGAGGGUGAGAAUCCCGUGUGGCGAGGAGUGCGGUUCUUUGUAAAGUGCCUUCGAAGAGUCGAGUUGUUUGGGAAUGCAGCUCUAAGUGGGUGGUAAAUUCCAUCUAAAGCUAAAUAUUGGCGAGAGACCGAUAGCGAACAAGUACAGUGAUGGAAAGAUGAAAAGAACUUUGAAAAGAGAGUGAAAAAGUACGUGAAAUUGUUGAAAGGGAAGGGCAUUUGAUCAGACAUGGUGUUUUGUGCCCUCUGCUCCUUGUGGGUAGGGGAAUCUCGCAUUUCACUGGGCCAGCAUCAGUUUUGGUGGCAGGAUAAAUCCAUAGGAAUGUAGCUUGCCUCGGUAAGUAUUAUAGCCUGUGGGAAUACUGCCAGCUGGGACUGAGGACUGCGACGUAAGUCAAGGAUGCUGGCAUAAUGGUUAUAUGCCGCCCGUCUUGA
rnacentral:rRNA from 1 species